rnacentral:rRNA from 1 species
UACAGAGGGUGCAAGCGUUGCUCGGAAUCAUUGGGCGUAAAGGGUAGGUAGGUGGUCUCAUUUGUCUGGGGUGAAAGCCUCGAGCUUAACUCGAGAAGUGCCCCGGAAACGGUGAGACUGGAGUCUGGGAGAGGGUCGUGGAAUUCCCGGUGUAGCGGUGAAAUGCGUAGAUAUUGGGAAGAACACCGGUGGCGAAGGCGGCGACCUGGUCCUUUACUGACGCUGAGGCGCGAAAGCGUGGGGAGCAAACAGG